rnacentral:rRNA from 1 species
GGCUUUUUGAUAAUAAUUUAAGGUCUAGCCUGCCCAAUGAUUCAUAUUAAAUGGCCGCGGUAUUUUGACCGUGCAAAGGUAGCAUAAUCAUUAGUUUCUUAAUUGGAAGCUUGUAUGAAAGGUUUGAUGAGAAAAGGACUGUCUCUAUUUGAUUUUUUAAAAAUUUAUUUUUAAGUUAAAAAGCUUAAAUAAGUAUUAAAGACGAGAAGACCCUAUAGAGUUUUAUAUUUUUAUGGAAUUAUUAUAUUUAGGAUUUUUUGAUAAUUUUAUUAAAGUAUUUAGUUGGGGUGAUUAAAAAAUUAAUUAAACUUUUUUAUAAUAAUUCCAUUAAUUUAUGAAUAUUUGAUCCUUGUUGCAAGAUUAAUAGAUGAAAUUACCUUAGGGAUAACAGCGUAAUUUUUUUUAGAGUUCUUAUCGAAGGAAAAGAUUGCGACCUCGAUGUUGGAUUAAAAUUAAUUGUUGGUGAAGAAGCUAAUAAGUGAGGUCUGUUCGACCUUUAAAUUUUUACAUGAUCUGAGUUUAAACCGGUGUGAG